AAUAGAACAAAAUUCUUGUCCUCAGCUUGACAUACUAAACUACUGGCAGAGAUGUAUUCUCGGGACAGCUUUUUAAAGUCUGUCUGCAAACAGCACCAAGAUUAAACACGUCUCCGGAGCCUGAGUGGGGAUGGCGCGUCUUGACAGGAGCAGUCCUGCAGGCCAGGAGGAUCACAGCCCAGGCUGCACACACGUCAGGAGGUCUAGACAAUGGCCCUUCUAAUUCUGGAAAUGCAGGCGAUCAGCAAAGCCAGCAAAUGGGACGAUGGCAGAUCCAUCUAUUGUGGACACAACUGAGGAGUUUGGAUCUCUUAAUCGCAUACGCCUACCCUGCCCCUCCCUCCUUCCGUCUCCCCACUAGUAACCACUGGUUUACUCCCCAUAUCGGUGCAGUUAUGAUUAUAUGACCUGUCUUCACUACCAGUGAUUCCUUCUAGAACCCUUUGUAAUUUGUUUCUUUUCUGUUUCAUCUUGGUCAUUCUCUCAAAUGGACUUUUUACAUCCCAGAUGUGUCUUUAGCCAUAUAUAGGUUUUUGUUUCUGUAAUAAGAGUCUUGUUUCCAUAAUAAUUUUGAUUUUCUCAGUUUUCUAAUCUCUACUCUGAGCCCCUGUAGGUCUCCUUGGAGUUUUACUCUAAGAAAGGUCAUUUUUUCAUUAACACCUUUGACUCCGUGGAGAACCAGUUGUUUAUACUUUUUUUUCGCUGUGCGGCAUCAUUUUUUUCUGGUGUGUGUUCUCUACGAGACUUUUACUUUUCAUGUUCUAACUUUCCAUUUCUGGUUGGAGUCAAUCUGCAAAGGUCGUACCUUAUUUGAUGACAAGUGUUCAGUGAAUCACGUAUUUGCAGGAGAAUGUUGGAGGUGGCAGAGGAUUAAGCUUGAGCAGCUGGAGGUCUGAACUGUGAGGUUGUUUCAGCUUUCUUCUCCUGAGCCCUCCAAGACCAGUGGGCAGCAUUUCCCACCUGCCCUUCUACACAGUCACCGGCUUCUUUCAAAGGCGCGAUCACUGUAAAGUUCCUCAUUCACUUCUAACUCCCCUCCCAUUUCUUCAAAACACACAGGGAGGUAGAAGUCUCCCAAAUGCCAUCAAGCCAUACAAAUCUUGUCCAUCGGAGUUUUC